rnacentral:rRNA from 1 species
GAAGAGAUAAGUGCUGAAAGCAUCUAAGCACGAAACUUGCCCCGAGAUGAGUUCUCCCUGACCCUUUAAGGGUCCUGAAGGAACGUUGAAGACGACGACGUUGAUAGGCCGGGUGUGUAAGCGCAGCGAUGCGUUGAGCUAACCGGUACUAAUGAACCGUGAGGCUUAACCUUACAACGCCGAAGCUGUU